AGCUGUCCCAGCUGAAAAAAAUAAUCAGAUUAAGUGUGUGCAUCUAUAAAUACAUAUACAUGAAAUGUAGCUUUUAAAAGAACAGUAUAAAUAAAAGAUGCCAGUAUAUUCCUCUCAGCUCUGAUGGGACUCUGAGCUUUUAUUUAUUUUGAUUAAUACUUUACAACCAGAGUUUGUAAAGCCAACAAUAACAAUAUAACUUUAAGAUAAUACAUUGAUCAAAAU
rnacentral:lncRNA from 1 species